UGUCCCAAGAGCUCCAGCAUCAGUACCAGCAUGUCCACCAUCACCCUCAGCAUCUAAGCCACAAGCUGUAGCUGAGAAAUAUGUUAAAGAUGCUUGGGCUGGACAGACCGCCCAUGUACUCCUUUCAAAAGUGGGGGCCUAUAAGCUCUUCUACUGGGACAUCAAACAGACAGGGCCCCACAUGGAGCUGGAAAGUGAGUCUAUUAAUGCCUUUUUGGCCAUUCUGGUGCGCAGCUACAACCACCAGAACAAGGAAAAGGCUGCAUCCAUCGAUUCCUAUGCCAUGAGCUCA